UGAUCUCAAAUCAGGUAGGACUACCC
rnacentral:rRNA from 1 species